rnacentral:rRNA from 1 species
ACGAGCGGCGGACGGGUGAGUAACGCGUAGGAAUCUGCCCAGUAGAGGGGGAUAGCCCGGGGAAACCCGGAUUAAUACCGCAUACGCCCUACGGGGGAAAGGCCGGGAUCUUCGGACCGGUCACUAUUGGAUGAGCCUGCGUGAGAUUAGCUUGUUGGUGGGGUAAGGCCUACCAAGGCGACGAUCUCUAGCUGGUCUGAGAGGAUGAUCAGCCACACUGGAACUGAGACACGGUCCAG